UACGUAGGGGGCGAGCGUUGUCCGGAUUUAUUGGGCGUAAAGAGCGUGUAGGCGGCCAGGUAGGUCCGUUGUGAAAACUCGAGGCUCAACCUCGAGACGUCGAUGGAAACCAUCUGGCUAGAGUCCGGAAGAGGAGAGUGGAAUUCCUGGUGUAGCGGUGAAAUGCGCAGAUAUCAGGAAGAACACCCGUGGCGAAAGCGGCUCUCUGGAACGGUACUGACGCUGAGGAGCGAAAGCGUGGGGAGCGAACAGG
rnacentral:rRNA from 1 species